rnacentral:hammerhead_ribozyme from 1 species
GUACUGAUGAAGAGUUCAAACUAGGACUAAACUUCUGUCCAGUAC